rnacentral:rRNA from 1 species
AAGAAGUGGGUAGUUUAACCUUUCGGGGAGGACGCUCACCACUUUGUGGUUCAUGACUGGGGUGAAGUCGUAACAAGGUAGCGCUAGGGGAACCUGGCGCUGGAUCACCUCCUUA